UACGUAGGGUGCAAGCGUUGUCCGGAUUUAUUGGGUUUAAAGGGUGCGUAGGCGGCCCUGUAAGUCAGUGGUGAAAUACUCCAGCUUAACUGGAGGGGUGCCAUUGAUACUGCAGGGCUUGAGUCAAGUUGAAGUUGGCGGAAUUGACGGUGUAGCGGUGAAAUGCUUAGAUAUCGUCAAGAACACCGAUAGUGAAGACAGCUAACUAAACUUUUACUGACGCUGAGGCACGAAAGUGUGGGGAUCAAACAGG
rnacentral:rRNA from 1 species